GUAAGGAGGACGCUCUAGACUGGAGUAGAGUCAAAAGUUUCCAGCGAUACAAGAGGCUCAAAAGUUUGUUUUAAUAAGAAUGCCUGCUAACAAGGGUCCAGCAAGUGUUUUAGGUCAGUCCAACUGCUUAAACAGUUUUCUUUUAAAGUUUAUAACAGCCAUUAUUGUCCUGCAACAGGCAGAGCUAUUAUAUCCUGGGAGAAAGCCGGAGAGGCGUGGUAAGAUCCGAGUACAGCAUUUGGGAGUGAGCAGAUGGGUCCUGCAGUGUCUGCGCUAGCCGUCCUCCUUGGGUGGUGUGUACCAGCCAUUCUUCUCGUGGAUCUGAACCAGGGAUUUGUAGGACUGCUGUGCUCUUGUCAGGCUGUACUGAUUCUUAUUGGCUCCAAAUUGCACUCGUGCUUUCCCUUUCACCAGAGUUGCGCUGAUCUGCAUGAUUACAGACUCGAUGGAGUAUGCGCUGCUCCAGCCCUGUUUGGUCAGCAGCUCCAUGCAGAUGGCACCGCCACCCAGGACAUACCCCCCCGACAGCACUGGGGACACAACCCUUACAAAUGGUGGAUCGAAAGGAAAGUUAUCUUUAAAGGAGAAGUUUAGGAGGAUGAAAUCUGUUCCUUCUUUUUCUUUGAGGAUCUGGAGAUCGUUGUGCAAAGCGCUAUCCUCGUCAACCUUCAGGAGUUUGACGUUCCAAUCGUACAGGCUGUCAUUCACUAGUUCAACUGCAUAGUAACCGCCCUUGAAACUUGGUGAUCUGUAAAUAUCCCUGAGCUCCUUCAUUAGCCGGUCAGUGGCCUGCACAGACCCAGACACUGCACCAUUUAAGUAAUCUUGCCUCUGGUUCUUUUUUAUUUUCUCUAAAAUGGCCAGGUUUUCCUUCCCAAUGCCUUCAUCCUCCGUUUUCCUUCCGUCUGCUGGCUCCUCUUCUUUCAUCUCAUAGUGGUCCAAGUCCUCGGUGUCCUCUGGCAUCUCUUCAUCUUCCUCUUCAGAGGACACCUCUUCCUGCGUGCUCUG
rnacentral:lncRNA from 1 species